rnacentral:rRNA from 1 species
UACGUAGGGGGCUAGCGUUGUCCGGAUUUAUUGGGCGUAAAGAGCGUGUAGGCGGCUAUGCAGGUCCGCUGUGAAAACUCGAGGCUCAACCUCGAGACGUCGGUGGAAACCGCAUGGCUAGAGUCCGGAAGAGGAGAGUGGAAUUCCCGGUGUAGCGGUGAAAUGCGCAGAUAUCGGGAAGAACACCCGUGGCGAAGGCGGCUCUCUGGGACGGUACUGACGCUGAGGCGCGAAAGCGUGGGGAGCGAACAGG